UAAGGUGGUUAUUGCGGCGGGGCUCACCUCUUCCCAUUCCGAACAGAGAAGUUAAGCCCGCCCUGCGCAGAUGGUACUGCAAUUUGUGGGAGAGUAUGUCCGGCCGCCUUUC
rnacentral:rRNA from 1 species